rnacentral:rRNA from 1 species
AGCUGGUCUGAGAGGAUGACCAGCCACACUGGAACUGAGACACGGUCCAGACUCCUACGGGAGGCAGCAGUGGGGAAUUUUGCACAAUGGGCGCAAGCCUGAUGCAGCCAUGCCGCGUGUAUGAAGAAGGCCUUCGGGUUGUAAAGUACUUUCAGCGGGGAGGAAGGGAGUAAAGUUAAUACCUUGCUCAUGACGGACCGC